rnacentral:rRNA from 1 species
UACGUAGGGUGCGAGCGUUUGUCCGGAAUUAUUGGGCGUAAAGAGCUCGUAGGCGGUUUGUCGCGUCGGCCGUGAAAACUUGGGGCUUAACCCCGAGCCUGCGGUCGAUACGGGCAGACUUGAGUUCGGCAGGGGAGACUGGAAUUCCUGGUGUAGCGGUGAAAUGCGCAGAUAUCAGGAGGAACACCGGUGGCGAAGGCAGGUCUCUGGGCCAUAACUGACGCUGAGAAGCGAAAGCAUGGGGAGCGAACAGG